AUGGCAUUCUUUUUGCAGAAACCCCCCGCACAGCGGCGCCCGGUCUGGAUCGAGGGGAGAAUCCAUCGAGCCCGAGCUCCCACUCGCAUCACCACGGCCGCCGGAGCUGCCCCUGCUCGCACCGUCGCGGCCUCUGCUCGUGGCCUCCACCGUCUCCUUCGGGGCCUCUGCACAACGGAAGCGCCUCCCUCCCCUCUUUCCCCGUCCGAGCUCGACGCCAUCUCCGCGCUCAUCCCGCGGCUCAUCUCCGAGGGCCAGGUCCCCGCCGCCGGCCGCCUCCUCUCCGCGGCGCUCCUCCUGCCCGGCUCCCCGGAGCGCCUCCCGUUCCCUCCUCUCGCGGAGCACCUCGCCUCCCUCCCCACGCUCACCCCGGCCUUCGCCCUGCUCACCGCGCUCCGCCACCACCCCGUCCGCCCCUCGCCGCUCCCGCUCGCCACCCCGCUCCUCGGCCACCUCCUCGCGAUGCGCCGCGCCCACGAGGCCGCCUCCGUGCUCCGCUGGCUCUGCCACCCCGACUCCCCACGCCGGCCCGACGCCGCCACCUACGGCAUCGCCGUCACCGGGUUCUGCAGGCUCGGGGACCCCAGGAGCGCGCUCGUCGCCCUCGGCGAGAUGGCCUCCGACGGGGUUCCGCCCUCGCUGGAGCUGCCGGAGGCGGCGAUGCUGCAGGACGCGAGGAUCAAGGAGGCGUGGGCGCUUGAGGAGGCUAUGCGGCCACCGGAGUCCAAAAAGACGGGAACCAAGGCGGCGCGUCAAGAGAGAGAGCUUCGGGUGAGAGAGAGAAGAAAAAAUGGAAGGAGGAAGAGAAGGAGAGAGGCAGGGUGCGAGGACGGCCUGGUCCUGGUCGCCGGUGGUGGUGCUCCGGAGGCCGGCCGGCGGCGCGGCGAGGAGGAGCCCAAGGCGGGGCGGGGGCUACGGGAGGCGAAUGAGCUCGGGCUCGAGGGGCUCCUCCCCUCGAUCCAGAUCGGGCCCCGCCGCUGUGAGGACGAAGGAGGUGCGGGGGGUUUCUGCAAAAAGAAUGCCACAUCGGCAGCUGACAUGCAGGCCCCGCCGGUCAGAUACACCAUCAAUACACGUUUAUAUGCGAUUUAG
rnacentral:rRNA from 1 species